UACGUAGGCAGCAAGCGUUGUUCGGAGUUACUGGCGUAAAGGGUGUGUAGGCGGUUCUUUAAGUUGCUGUGAAAUCUCCCGGCUUAACCGGAGGGUGCGGUGAAUACUGAGGGACUAGAGUACGGGAGAGGAAAGUGGAAUUCCUGGUGUAGCGGUGAAAUGCGUAGAUAUCAGGAGGAACACCGGUGGUGUAGACGGCUUUCUGGACCGACACUGACGCUGAGACACGAAAGCGUGGUAGCAAACAGG
rnacentral:rRNA from 1 species